rnacentral:rRNA from 1 species
UACGUAGGUGGCAAGCGUUGUCCGGAUUUAUUGGGCGUAAAGGGAGCGCAGGCGGUGACUUAAGUCUGAUGUGAAAGCCCACGGCUCAACCGUGGAAGGUCAUUGGAAACUGGGUCACUUGAAUAUAGAAGAGGAAAGUGGAAUUCCAUGUGUAGCGGUGAAAUGCGUAGAUAUAUGGAGGAACACCAGUGGCGAAGGCGACUUUCUGGUCUAUUAUUGACGCUGAGGCUCGAAAGCAUGGGUAGCAAACAGGAUUAGAUACCCCCGUAGU